AAGUCCCUGACAGGAGGGGGCAGCCAGGGGGGUCGGGCUCUGCUCCCAGGGACAGGAGGAGAGUUGUGCCACAGGAGGGUUAGGUUGAAUAUUAGGGGAUUUUUUUUCAUGGAGAGGGUGAAAAGCAUUGGCACAGGGCACUGGUGGAAUGCCCAUCCCUGAAAGCAUUGAAAAAAUGUGGAUGUAGCACUUGAGGUGAGCAUGGUGGUGGUGCUGGGCUGAGGGUUGGACUCCAUGAUCUCAAAGGUCUUUUCCAACCUUAACGACUUUGAUUCCCCGAUUCUGUGACCCAGAACUGCCCGAGCCCUGCAUUCACUAUAAAACUCCCACCAGAGGAGGGAGUCCAUGGCUGCAGCUCCCUGGAAAUCCUGUCGGCCCUCAAAUCGGUGUGAGCUAACACCACUUCGUGGGGUUUUGUGCUGCUUAGGAAGAGUUCCCCCAGGAUCAGAGCUGGGCCCUGGCCUGGCCACGCUCCUCAGUCCCCAGCCCUUGUGAACACCCACUGGGAGUGCUCUGGACACCUCCUCCCUGUCCCCUGUCUGCUGCUUCCUCCUUUUCUUGUUCACAGCUGCACUUUGGAGGAUCCUGCUUUGCCCCUGGAGCGUGCUGGGACAAGUCACCCUGCUCUGGGCAGCCACGGGGUUUGUCUGUCCUACCAGCACAGCAAACCCUUGUUCCUCCCUGGAAUGAUCUCAGGACACAGAUCCUGGAGGGAAACUUUGCACUAGAGAGCAACGACGACAGCUUCGAAAUAACCACAUGAAAGAAUUCCAGCAGCUGAAGAAGAACCUGUGGAAGGGUUUAAAGUGCAUGUGUUUCCUCAGCUGAGAUUGAAAUGAAAUGUUCCAGUGGAUUUGCAGGGAAAUUUUUGUGCUCAUUUUCCCUUGUUGAAAUUUGGGGCAUUUUGUUCCACUUCACACUGAAGUGUUAAAAAUCCUGAACGGAACAGAAACUUCCAGACUCAGCACAGCUCUUUAAUUGCCUGGUUAAGCUGAUUAAAGUUCAUUCCCAAGCUUUCAUAUUCCCAGUUUCUGUGCUCCCUGGCUAAUAACACCUCUCCUAUCAGGACCUCAAAGCACUUUUAAAUCACUGAUGGCUUCUGUGCCCAGAAAAGAGGCAAACCCAGAGUUUCCCGAGGGAAUCCAGAUUCCAGGUGGUGAUUCCUUUGCCAGGCACAGAUCAGCCCUGAACCUCUCCGAGCCACAAGCGGAUGUGGAGUCACCUCCCGGGUGAUAUUCCAGAGCCCUUUGACAUCACAUUUGGAAAGGGGUCCUAGGAAAGUUCUUUGCAGAUGGAAAUUGCAGUAGGAGUCAGCAGUGUUGUUUGAAAGGUUGAACAAUCCCAGGGAAAACUGAUUUCCUUGGGAUGUGACAGUCCGGUCUGUGCCGGUGGGUGCAGUUGGAAUCCUUUGAGAUGAGGGAUAAAUCAGGAGUUCAGACAGGAAUCUCGGGAAUGUUGUCUUUUAACCAGGAUUUCUGGCAGCUGGAUCACUGCAAGUCCGAUUUGGUGCAACCUUUGUGCCCUUCCUGGCAGAACUGAUGGAGACAGACUGACCCCACAUCCGAGGAGGAGGGAUCCCUGGCUGUGGGCUGGAGCAGUGGGAGCACUCAGCAGCUCAUCCUGGUGAAAGCUGCUGGUUUGCCAGGGCUUGGUUGGGAUGAGGGGCCUGGGAACCCCACUCAGCCUCUGGGAAAAUGUGGUGGAGUCUCCUGCAGUAAGGGUGGGAUCAGGAGGGGGGUCACAAACAGGACAGGGGUGACACAGACCCCCCGUUCCGGCCCCUCUGUUAGUGAGAGGCAGAAGCAGAGCUGCCUGGCAGGCUGAAAUGAUCCUUUUUCCCAGGAAAUAAGCUCCUGCUUAUUUAUUUCCACGAGUAGGCAGAUAAAUUCCAUCA